GAAAAAAGCAACAAAUGUUUAUUUCUCUCUAUCUCUUUGCUACGAAAAAUUCAAGAAAAAAGCACAAUAAAGAUUCACCUCCUCCAAAUCGAAACAGAUUUGCAUGUGGUGUCGAUAACUUUCGAAAAUUUAAUCCGAUGAGAUUCUGAUUAUCUUGCUAUGGCGGUGACAUGAUUCGAUUAGCUUAUCAACCACUAAGAUUAAAGAAUCGUUGAGUUUAUUAAUAUUGUCUACUCUAGGAUCAUAUUAAAACGAAGCGAGGUAUAUUUCAUUCAACUACUCACGACGUCUUUCAUAUAUACGCUACUUACUAAAGCGAGGUAUAUUUGACUCAUAUAAUAUUUAACUACCCAAUUCCAUUUUUGUUUCAGUAAGAUGUGUGUGUGUGUGUGUGUGUGUGUGUGUGUGUGUGU